UCUGUAGGUAGGGCUCACUGCCCUUCUGGGCAGUGAGCCGGUGGGAUCCCGGGCCCCCUGGCCCCUCCUAGGAUGGCUGGCGGCUAUGCCCCCUUGGAGACCCGGCACCCUGCACUCAGUGUCCCACCCAGCCUGGCUGCGCACACAUUCAGGGAUUCUGACGGCCUGCGACAGCUGCCAGGGGCCCGGGCAGUCAGCACUGCAGCUUCAUGUGCAGGCAAGAUGUGGGGUACCCGGGGGACGUAAGGGCUCCUGUUGGGGUGCAACGUGCACCCCGGAUGUGGAGGUGAGCAGUGACCCGCCCAAUUGCUGCCUGUUCUGGAGGUGCUUCAGGUUAGCCAGGCCCCCCCUGGGCUAGCAUGGGGAGGAAACACGGCAAUUGUAUGCUUUGCCCGGAAAUCCAGCAGCUUCUCGGCCGGCUCUUUGCCAGCAAACUGGCUAGGCUGUUGACGCAUGUAAGCCGCUGUGUCCCUGUUCUUUAGAGCCCUGUGUUACAUUCCCCCGGAUUCCUCAUUUCAGGCAUCUAAUUCCCGAGAACAUGGACAUAGGCAUUAGCUUUCCCGGCCUCUUGGAGACCUAAAGGGAAGGCGCUCCCUGGAGGGGACGUGGUAGCCGUGCCUGGCUGGGUGGCCAGGGAGGGGCUUGGGGCUGUGGGUGGUGGGGAAAUCACAGUCCCAGGCAGCACCUGCUGGCCUCCUGUCACACAGGGAGGCCGCCCAGAGGCCAGGGGCUCCAGCAUCGGAGCAGACGGAAUUAAAAAUGGAAUGAUAAAAACAUGAACCCCUUGUGUCUCUCGAACUUGCUUUGGGCAUACACAACCUGCUUCUAAUUCAUCUGCCGAAUUGCUCUUUGCAUCUGUAAAAAAUGGCAACGAAAACAAACAGUCCCACAAACAAAACCAUACCCCCACAACCCCACAAAAUGUUUAUUUCAAUUAUACAAGAAACGCAUUGGUAAUUAAUGUACUCAUUAGUAAAAACCAGACAUGCAAAGGAAGCCGAAGCCAUCCUUAACCCUUCCUCAACCGUAGCCUCCUCCCAGUUAACUGCUGUGACCAGUUCAAGGUUGCAGAUAUUUUCCUGUGCACACACAGAUGUACAUAAAUACGCCUCUAAAACAUACUACUGUUGCUUCUUUUCUACCUAAGCUAGAGCCCAGUGUGCAUUUCCUUUAGCGGUUUGCAUCAGCUUGUUUUUCUUCCCUCAAGGAGCCGGUGGGAGAUAAUAAAGAUCAACACCGUUCCUUAUAACAGCGCCUCAGGACCGAAUUUAUUUAACCACCUCGCUGCUGCCUUGUCUGGAAGCCGCAGGCCCUUUCCCUGGCAGGGGCGGAUUGCGCACAGGUGGCCACCUGGACCUGACUUGGUCUCCCUGAGACACACCCUGCAGUCUCUCCCGGACCCUCGGUCACUGUCAGAGGUCCUGUGUGGUGCCCGGCUGGGGCACCUACCUUCCCCGGGCUCGGACCCGAGAGGAGAGAGAAGCUGGGAGUGAGGAGGUGCUGGUCGGACGGUCGAACCGAGGGCGACGCUGGGCACGAGGAGGUGCUGGUCGGACGGUCGGACCAAGAGUGGUGCUGGGGACGAGGAGGUGCCGACACACCCCGGACGGCACCCCCGUUCUCCAGCCCCGCCGCAGGACUGUUUGCAAGCAAUUUUCAGACACUGUCUUGGACCGUCUGAACAUUUCUUGAGCUCUAUUCAGCAUUCACAUAUUCCAGAUGGAAUCACAGCUCCCUUCCAGCUGGCACGUUCAAGUCUGCGUCCACACUACCUGCCGCACUUCCAAAGGGCUUACGGGGCUCUGUGUGUUGAGAGGCCCUUGGGAGGUCAGUGACUUGCCCACGACCCGCUAGAAUUGAGGAUCCAGGUGCCAGCUGAGGUUUGUCUGAUUCCUGUGCCCGGCCGGGCGGAGGUAAGAUGGGUAGGUAAGCCGGCUGGAGAGGCCCUGCAUCAAGAGGCAUGAGGACGCGCAGAGGUGGCGGCGGGCUGCCGGAUGCGGUAAGAUGGGCAAUGCAGAGGUGCCGGUGGCAGGCGGCGGGUGGCUGAGUGAGAACUGGUAGCACUGCUCCGAGGUCAGAGGCUGGCUUGCUGUCCCGGGGAGCUUCCCUGGGAGCAGAGGGUUUUCGGACAGGCUUAGUGGCUCUGCGACAAGAGGUGGGCCUCCAGGUCUCAGGACCAAGUCCCAGUCGUGGUACCGCAGCUGGGUGGCAACUCUCAGUCCCUGCUGCUUUCCACUAUACUGGGGUACAGUGGGUAGCCGGCUCCGCGCUGGCUCCUUUGCACCUGUGUCCUGAGACCAGCCGCACGGCCGGCCCUUCUGCAAUCGUACAGUAACCUCUGUUGUCGCAGUUAUGGUCUUCCAUUAAGAGAGAAGGGAACUUGGGUGUAGGCAAGGGCAAGGGCUUGCCAAAGUCAUAUAGGAAGCAAAUGCAGACCCUCGAUUUGAAUCUUCGUCUUCUUCCUUUCAAACGCCACUCUUUGCUCUAAAUCCUCCUCUGUCUCUGUCUCUCUGUCUCUGUCUCUUUGUCUCUCUCUCCCUGUCUCUGUCUUUCUCUGUUUGUGUCUC